AGAUCUCGAAUCGACAUACUUUGAGUGGAAGCAGACGUGUUUUUAUUGGUGUUCUUGUGUACAAUAUUUCUUUUUCAUCAUCUACUUUUUUGGAUAAUUUAAUGUGAUUCAACUAUUGGAUAUUCCUUACAACUUGGAUUAUUGAAAUAGCACGGAUUAUUGGAGCAGAUUGGAUUAUUUAUUACUCAAAGACUUUGCGAUCAAUAUGGCAGAUGAUGUAAAGGUCAUCUGUUUCUGUGGCACACGGUUAAUGAGGGUGUCAUGUGGCUAUCUUGAUACAGUCUCUAAUCUAAUGAGCUUCAAUGUUAAUCAGCUAAGUAAAAAUCAUUUCACCCGUUCCAUGUAAAUAUGCACCUGCAACUCAACUAUACGUUUACCUUUCUUAUUGAGGUAAUUAGUAAAACAGUGGACAGUCGUCAGGAGAUUGACUGUAGAAUGGGGUUGAUUUCGAUACUUUACGAUUCUUUCCGAUUACCCGGCUGGUUCGAUUAACCGGGUGUACACUACUGAAUCACUAUUUUUUCCUCCUCAUCUAUAACGCGUAUUGAGC